CCCAUCGCCCAGCUUUGUCUAGCAGCCAACAUUGGCCAAGGCGGAGCGUCGAUCACAACCACACGUACAGCAGCAUUCUGGGGAGCAAGGAUCGACUGCGACCGCACAUGGAAGAGAGGGUAUGCGGUGUGAUGCAGCCCUCUAUUCCCAAGAAGAGCAGACUGUCACCAGUAGGCAGCAGUUCUGCAAUGCACUGCGGUCAAUCCCUAAUGUGUAGCAGAAGAGGAGGUGUAUGCUGACCCGGAAGGAUUCCAACUGUAGUCAAGAAAAGAAGAGGAGGAUGCGCAGCCAGCAGCCAAGCCCAGCCCAGUCCUCCACAGCCCCAGCCCAGCAGGGGAUCCAGCUCAGCCCAACGCAGCCCAGCCCGGCCGAGGUUCCAAUUCCACUACCAGGAAGCAUAACAGAGAAGCAUUUUGAAUUUAUUUCUUUCCUUCUGUCUCUUCUCUGUCUUCUGAGCACUUCCCUAAUCUAACAGAACUAACCAUCCCCUACCCUUAACAUUCAUUUUGUUGUAAUUUCAUUGAAUUUGUGUGCUUUGUUUCAUUGUUUUAAAUUUUUACUAAUCUCCUCUCAGUUGUAUAUUUUCAGGCACUUGGACGUGGUACAAGCUGGAGCACCUACCCACCCACCCAGCUGCAGAUGAAGAGCUCACUCUAACAAACUAAUCUAACAAAUAACUCUAACAAUUCAUCCUAACAAAUCAUCCUAACCAACUACCAAUAAAUCAUCGUAACAAAUAGGGGUGGGAUGAUAAACUGAUACAUAC